AAAGGAGGAAUGAGAGGACAGGAGAGCAGAUGGGCUCUUCAGAUUAUUAACAUGAAAACAUCUCAGGCAUGUUGAUAAUGAUGGUGAAAACUGGGAGGGAGGUACAGAUUGAUGGUUUCACUGAGCAUUGCAUGGCCUUCGAUGAAUUUGCUGGGACCUCCACACUUGGGAAGAUCGUUGCAUUGUGUUAGCACUCAUUUAAAUGCUCUCAACCAACAAACUGGCAAAACUAU